CAGUAGCCGCGGGAAUACGAAGGGGGCUAGCGUUGCUCGGAAUGACUGGGCGUAAAGGGCGCGUAGGCGGAUUGUUUAGUUAGGCGUGAAAUUCCUGGGCUUAACCUGGGGACUGCGCUUAAUACAGGCAGUCUAGAGUGAGGAAGAGGGUUGUGGAAUUCCCAGUGUAGAGGUGAAAUUCGUAGAUAUUGGGAAGAACACCGGUGGCGAAGGCGGCAACCUGGUCCUUGACUGACGCUGAGGCGCGAAAGCGUGGGUAGCAAACAGGAUUAGAUACCCGCGUAGUCCCUGUCUCUUAUAC
rnacentral:rRNA from 1 species